rnacentral:rRNA from 1 species
GCGUUGUUCGGAAUUACUGGGCGUAAAGGGCUCGUAGGCGGCCCACUAAGUCAGACGUGAAAUCCCUCGGCUUAACCGGGGAACUGCGUCUGAUACUGGAUGGCUUGAGUUCGGGAGAGGGAUGCGGAAUUCCAGGUGUAGCGGUGAAAUGCGUAGAUAUCUGGAGGAAUACCGGUGGCGAAGGCGGCAUCCUGGACCGACAUUGACGCUGAUGAGCGAAAGCUAGGGGAGCAAACGGG